ACGGAAGGCAGCAGUGGGGAAUAUUGGGCAAUGGGCGAAAGCCUGACCCAGCAACGCCGCGUGAAGGAAGAAGGUUUUCGGAUUGUAAACUUCUGUCCUUGGUGACGAAGGAAGUGACGGUAGCCAAGGAGGAAGCCCCGGCUAACUACGUGCCAGCAGCCGCGGUAAUACGUAGGGGGCGAGCGUUGUCCGGAAUGACUGGGCGUAAAGGGCGUGUAGGCGGCUCUUUAAGUAUGAAGUGAAAACCCAGCUGUCAAGGUUGGGCCUGCUUUGUAGACUGGAGAGCUUGAGUGCGGAAGAGGUAAGUGGAAUUCCCAGUGUAGCGGUGAAAUGCGUAGAGAUUGGGAGGAACACCAGUGGCGAAGGCGACUUACUGGGCCGUAACUGACGCUGAGGCGCGAAAGCGUGGGGAGCGAACAGGAUUAGAUACCCUGGUA
rnacentral:rRNA from 1 species